UCCGAUAAGGCUCACCGACCCUGAAGCGCUGUGGACAGCGCACGCACCGCGA
rnacentral:rRNA from 1 species